GGAAAUAGAUGUGAAAUCCCUGAUCUCUCAUGCCAGGGCUGAAAUCACUUCCUUCAAGAACAACAUCCACAUUAGGAAUCAACCUUCUUAUAAAUGGCUGAAUUAAACCAGAAGAGUUACAUGCAAAGCCUGACUCAUACUAGGAAGAAUACUGAAGGAGGGCAGUUCCUGGAAGAGGAGACUUCCUCAUGAGGUGUCCGUGGGGGCUUUGCACAAGCUCUUUCUGCCUGCAGCAUCUUGGGUAUCUGUUGAUUUCUUCUGCAGUAAUUCACAGGUGCCAAGGUUGCUUCAAAGAUGGGAGGAGCCAGUGAAAUGGCUUUUUCUCUGAGGUCCCAUUGACUUCUGCCUUUCCUCUGGAAGAGUAGCUGAAUGAAUUGGGAUCUGGAAAGGCUGUGCAGGCACAUGGAGAAGGGAAGAGCCAUGAAGGCUUCCUUGGACACAAACAGCUUCUGAGGGAGGAGCCUGCCCUGGCACCGUAGAGGAUCUGGGAGAGCUCCAGCCCUGCUGGAGCUGAGCCCCUGGGCAGCCCCAUGGACUCUCCCCACCUCCUGCUCUUGGGUUUCCUGCUCCUGGCCCUUGCUGCUCCCCAUCCAAGUAUUGCCAUGUCCAAUGCUGGCCCUGCUAAGGGGACACAAGGGAGCACAAAUAUGGCAGUCUACUACUGUAAGGACUAUGAAAGCUGCAAGUGCAAGAAUGGGAGAAUCAAUUUUAAAAACUUUAUAAAAAUCGCUGAAAUACAAAACAAGACAAAUACUAUUCCAGAUGUAACAGUUGAGUUGGUGAUUAAUAAAUCACACAUCAGUGUUUGCUUUGAGCAAGCAAAUUCCUCUCUUGAAGGAAUUUAUGGCAUCUUCUCCGACAAAACUGAUCCACCAAAACUCUGGUGUGGCAUCCUGAAUUCUGAAGAAAAUGAAGGAGGUAACAUCAGUACUGAGGACAAGAAUGUUUGCUGUGAGGCAGAGGCAGUUGCCUGGACGCACAACCCUAACCUGAAGUGCUACAUUCAAAAGUCACGUCCAAAACACACUGCACUGCCAGUUGCUGUUCCUGGUGAGGGAAUUCUAGAUGGGGCCAGCUCCUUUGUGUGGUGCUUACGAGGCAGCUCAUGGCUUAGCACUCCUGCUUGCUUCACUUGGAUGCUCUGUUUUCUUCUACUCUGCAGGUAAUCCUGAAUUUCUCAGCAGCAAAAAGAACAGUCUUGUCAUCUUGUUGGCAUUCCUGUUUGUUGGGGUUGGCACAGGAUGGGGCACCAUGUAUUACUUCUUGCGGCUGCGGCGUCGCCAAGCUUCUAGGCAAGACAGAGAGGCUUCUGAGAGAGAAAAGCUCACACAUCCUUGAUAACCAUCUACAAGGGAGAAAACCUCUCUGCCAGCAGCAUCUUCCUCCUCUCUCAGGAUGCACAGCAACCAGCUGAACAGACUGAUUUUCCACGGGAACUCCUGCCCUUGUAUUCCCAAAUAGUUUGGUUUUCACAAAGGUACCUUCACCACAUCCACACCUUCCCCAAGCACUGUGACUCUUGUCUAGCUCCAGGCCUUGGUGAGCAGCACAGGCAGCACCAGCAGCCCCCAUCCUCUCCUUGGCUUGGCUGCGGACAGCAGGCACCCCAGGGUGUGUGGCUGACUCAGCAGCACUGAAACCAGCUGAAUUCUCUCUGUGACAAAGUGGGAACAGCUCUGAAAUGCUUCCCAUGCCCUCUGCAUGGUUUUCACUUGGUAAUGCCACAGCAGCACCCAGGUGUCUGUAUGGUUUGAAUUCUCAGGUCAUCUCUGCAUUCACCAAAGCCUUUUGCACCACAAGCUGGCUGGUAGGUUGAACUGGAAGAGUUUGGAAGAAAUAUUUGAUUUUGCACCCACCUGCAUGCUGAGGACAUGUCUGAGUGUUUGUUCCUGUGCAGGGCUGGGUGGGAGGCUGUGUCCAGCUCUCCCAGGAAUGGCAUUGGGUCACAGAGGCCUCAGUCUCCCCCAGGCUGAGCAGAACUCUGGUAUCAAUCUUCCUGACAAAUUGGGCCAGUUUAGACAGCGUGAGAUGAGUACAGCCCCUCAGGAAUCCCACUGGCUACUUGGUAUCCUCAAAUCAUUCCCCAUUCCCACCUGAUUUGAAUAAAUCCUCAGCUUUUGCAUUGGAUCUAAUUUACUAUCAGGACUGUUGAGCAAAAAUCAGUGGCAGCACAAGGGGAGAAGCAAAUCCUUAAAGCAAUGUGAAUGUUUCCUGAAUCACUGUCCUUUUGUCACACAGCUAAACACAAGCACACACACAGUUGUUGGUUAUUUCUGCUUUGAUUGACUGGAUUUGUUUUUGCUGCUUGUUUUUUCCUCAAUGUGUCUUAACCAUCCAGUCAGUAGCAGAGUGAACCUUGCCAACAAACUCUGUUGUGCUGGUGCUUAAUAUCAAAUCUGGAUUUAACUGAUCUCCUUUCUGGUGAUGUUUUAAGAGAUCUCCAACACUUUGAAACAGCUGUUUCCCAUUUGAUCCCUCUGCUCCUCGCUAUUCAUUGCACAAAUGUUUCUUGUUCAGUUUCUUUGGUUAUUGGGGUCAUUGGAGAGCUCUAAGGGUCUCAUUAUAUAUUUGUAUACUUUUGUUUCUCACUAUAGACUGUAUUUACACCUUCUGCAAUCAUCUUUCAGAGAAUCUGUAUUAUCCUUGAUGUUAUUAAAUGCUUCUUAAAAAAA